rnacentral:rRNA from 1 species
GUAGGUGGCAAGCGUUGUCCGGAAUUAUUGGGCGUAAAGCGCGCGCAGGCGGUUCUUUAAGUCUGAUGUGAAAGCCCACGGCUCAACCGUGGAGGGUCAUUGGAAACUGGAGAACUUGAGUACAGAAGAGGAAAGCGGAAUUCCACGCGUAGCGGUGAAAUGCGUAGAGAUGUGGAGGAACACCAGUGGCGAAGGCGGCUUUCUGGUCUGUAACUGACGCUGAGGCGCGAAAGCGUGGGGAGCAAACAGGGAUUAGAUACCCUGGUAGUCCACGCCGUAAACGAUGAGUGCUAAGUGUUAGGGGGUUUCCGCCCCCUUAGUGCUGCAGCUAACGCAUUAAGCACUCCGCCUGGGGAGUAUGGCCGCAAGGCUG